AGUUCUCGUUGAUGAUCGGUGCUUGCACCGAAUGAUUCAACAUGGAAGCGAGUGGCGGACGGGUGAGUAACACGUGGGUAACCUGCCCUUAAGUGGGGGAUAACAUUUGGAAACAGAUGCUAAUACCGCAUAGAUCCAAGAACCGCAUGGUUCUUGGCUGAAAGAUGGCGUAAGCUAUCGCUUUUGGAUGGACCCGCGGCGUAUUAGCUAGUUGGUGAGGUAAUGGCUCACCAAGGAGAUGAUACGUAGCCGAACUGAGAGGUUGAUCGGCCACAUUGGGACUGAGACACGGCCCAAACUCCUACGGGAGGCAGCAGUAGGGAAUCUUCCACAAUGGACGCAAGUCUGAUGGAGCAACGCCGCGUGAGUGAAGAAGGCUUUCGAGUCGUAAAACUCUGUUGUUGGAGAAGAAUGGUCGGCAGAGUAACUGUUGUCGGCGUGACGGUAUCCAACCAGAAAGCCACGGCUAACUACGUGCCAGCAGCCGCGGUAAUACGUAGGUGGCAAGCGUUAUCCGGAUUUAUUGGGCGUAAAGCGAGCGCAGGCGGUUUUUUAAGUCUGAUGUGAAAGCCCUCGGCUUAACCGAGGAAGCGCAUCGGAAACUGGGAAACUUGAGUGCAGAAGAGGACAGUGGAACUCCAUGUGUAGCGGUGAAAUGCGUAGAUAUAUGGAAGAACACCAGUGGCGAAGGCGGCUGUCUGGUCUGUAACUGACGCUGAGGCUCGAAAGCAUGGGUAGCGAACAGGAUUAGAUACCCUGGUAGUCCAUGCCGUAAACGAUGAAUGCUAGGUGUUGGGAGGGUUUC
rnacentral:rRNA from 1 species